rnacentral:misc_RNA from 1 species
AAAGUGCGACAAGUGUCAUGACUUGCAGAUACCCGAGAGCUGACAAAUUUCUGAAUGCAAAUUGCAGCCAAUUUAACCUGGCUAUACACUGCAGAGAGUACUUCGCGUAUGCGCUUACUCCAGGGUUUCAACCAAAAGCCCUUGACCUUGGGACCUGCACGAUUGAAUCUGUUGACGUCGCAAUGCGAUGACCAGAUUCUCUCUUGUUAAAGUCAGAAAACUAUUGUUUUCCUGAACUAACUGAGAAAAAGAGUUUAAUCUCUUACCUCUCAUCUCUCACCUCUGCAAUGUAGGAGAACCCGCUGAACUUAA